rnacentral:sRNA from 1 species
ACGUAGGAUGGAGAGUAGUGCAUAUAGAGACACAUGUUCCCAACGGAUUUGACGAUGGUGUUCGGUCUUGAAUGGAAUUGUAGUCUUAGGCUAGUCUUAGGUUUUUGAACAGGAUAGUAGGUAUCCGGAGUCGAUUGAGGGCCAGAGCAGGCACUGGGGUUCAGAUUCUGGGCAAAGUUCCCCACGUUGAGGGUCUCGAGGACGCCUAGAUCUCUUUCCCAGGGCCAUGGCGAACCCGAAGCUGCUGGGACUGGAGCUAAGCGAGGCGGAGGUGAUCGGUGCUGAUUCGGCGCGAUUUGAGGAGCUGCUGCUGCAGGCCUCGAAGGAGCUCCAGCAAGCCCAGACAACCAGACCAGAAUCGACACAAAUCCAGCCUCAGCCUGGUUUCUGCAUAAAGACCAACUCCUCAGAAGGGAAGGUUUUCAUCAACAUCUGCCACUCGUCCUCUAUCCCUCCUCCUGCCGACGUGACCGAGGAGGAGCUGCUUCAGAUGCUAGAGGAGGACCAAGCUGGGUUUCGCAUCCCCAUGAGUCUGGGAGAGCCUCAUGCAGAACUGGAUGCAAAAGGCCAGGGAUGUACCGCCUACGACGUAGCUGUCAACAGCGACUUCUACCGGAGGAUGCAGAACAGCGAUUUCUUGCGGGAGCUCGUGAUCACCAUCGCCAGGGAGGGCCUUGAGGACAAAUACAACUUGCAGCUGAAUCCGGCAGAACAUCCGCUCGCAGCAGCGUCCUCGGAUCCAGGAGCUGGGGGACCUGUACACGCCCGCCCCCGGGAGAGCUGAGUCAGGGUGGGCCUUCGGUAGAUCCCCGGUCUGAUGUUUCCUCAACGCUCUUGGGAA